AGGACGAACGCUGGCGGUGUGCUUCACACAUGCAAGUCGAACGAGGUAGCAAUACCUAGUGGCGGACGGGUGAGUAACGCGUGGGAAUCUGCCUUUGAAUGGGGGAUAACGGGCCGAAAGGUCCGCUAAUACCGCAUAGGCCGCAAGGUUAAAGGAGUAAUCCGUUCAAAGAUGAGCCCGCGUCUGAUUAGCUAGUUGGUAGGGUAAAAGCCUACCAAGGCGACGAUCGGUAGCUGGUCUGAGAGGAUGAUCAGCCACAAUGGGACUGAGACACGGCCCAUACUCCUACGGGAGGCAGCAGUGGGGAAUUUUACGCAAUGGGCGAAAGCCUGACGUAGCGACACCGCGUGAGCGAAGAAGCCCUUUGGGGUGUAAAGCUCUGUCAGCUGGAACGAAAAAAAUGACGGUACCAGCAGAGGAAGCAUCGGCUAACUACGUGCCAGCAGCCGC
rnacentral:rRNA from 1 species